GCCCUCGUAGUAUAAANUAAUACACUGGCCUUGUAAACCANAAAU
rnacentral:tRNA from 1 species